rnacentral:lncRNA from 10 species
ACAAAUGCAAGGCAGGCAGGAGUUACCUGGUUGAUGGAAAUGACCGCCAGCCGGGGUAUGACCACUUGGAGGAUGACCUGCAGCAGCGAGGUGCCCAGGCCGGCCAGGAUGGCCCAGGUGAGCGGCAGCGGCAGCAUACUGUAGGUGGCGAAGAGCGUGAAGAGCACGUAGCCUAUGCCGUCGCCCAGGAGCCCGUAGCCGAGGCCUGCUGCCAGGAUCUGGGUGGUCAUGGCCACCCAGGUGACCACGCCGCUGUACUGCAGCUCUGUGACCUUGGCCAUGUCACUUAACUUCCCUCCGCUUCAAUGUCUUCAUCUACAAACCAGGAAUAAUAGUAUAUAUCACAAAAUGUAUCUAAGAUACAAAUGAGACACUGUGAAGUCCUUGGCACAGACUUAUAAAAGAAGUAGAACACACAUGCUUCCCAUUAGGUGAGAAAGAAACAUGCCUGAGAGUCUAAUGGAUUACUCAAGUCUGUGCUGCCAAGGAAGAACAGAAUCUUUAGAUAUCAUGUGUUUUACAAAUUGAAGUUUGUGGAAACCCUGCAUCAAACAAGUCUAUUGGUGACAUUUUCCCAACAGCAUUUGCUCACUUUGUGUUUCUGUGUCACAUGUUGAUAAUUCUUACAAUAUUUGAAACCUUUUUUAUUAUUAUACAUGUUCUGGUGAUCUGUGAUCAGUGAUCUUUGAUGUUACUACUGUAAUUUUUUUGGAUGCUGUGAACUGUGCCCAUAUAAAAUGGUGAAUUAAAUCAAUA